rnacentral:ribozyme from 1 species
CUCACUUCAAAGGAACCUCACCGAAAGAAAAUGUACGACCAACAUAUGACGAGAUAUAAACGAUUAAGUCUGAAUUAUGUUACAAGAGAACUGACACUCGCUCGUUUU